CCUGGUAUGCCUACGACACAACAUUUCCUGCUUCCUGCUGAAUUGAAACUAGUGAAUGGAUAUGCACUUUGGAAUGACAAUUCACUCUUCCUCGGCGAGGGGCGGACCUUGAAGCACACCUCAAGAUUUCUGGACAAAAGGAAGCUGCUGAAAAGAAGAGUUAACGGGAAAGGCCGUCGUGACGUGGAGGUUUUCACAGCUUGCUGCGAGAUUUGUUCUUCCAUGAUGCAAACGAACUAGACCGGACAUGGCUUGAAGCUAGCUAGCUGCUAAGCUAACAAAGCUAGCACGGAGAAAGGCAGGGCCGGUCUGAAGGAAGCUACUCCCGGGCACACCGGGACCACCACUUCCCCGAAGACAGCUGUCACUCCAUUCAGCGACAUAAAGUUCUGUGAGUAUGGCUUCCUGCGCU